CGGGGGGGGCAAGCGUUGUUCGGAAUUACUGGGCGUAAAGGGCUCGUAGGUGGCCAACUAAGUCGGACGUGAAAUCCCUCAGCUUAACUGGGGAACUGCGUCCGAUACUGGAUGGCUUGAGUUUGGGAGAGGGAUGCGGAAUUCCAGGUGUAGCGGUGAAAUGCGUAGAUAUCUGGAGGAACACCGGUGGCGAAGGCGGCAUCCUGGACCAACACUGACACUGAGGAGCGAAAGCCAGGGGAGCAAACGGGAUUAGAUACCCCGGUAGUCCUGGCCCUAAACGAUGAAUGCUUGGUGUGGCGGGUAUCGAUCCCUGCCGUGCCGAAGCUAACGCAUUAAGCAUUCCGCCUGGGGAGUACGGUCGCAAGGCUG
rnacentral:rRNA from 1 species